GACGAGGAGCUUGCUCCUCCGACGUUAGCGGCGGACGGGUGAGUAACACGUGGAUAACCUACCUAUAAGACUGGGAUAACUUCGGGAAACCGGAGCUAAUACCGGAUAAUAUAUUGAACCGCAUGGUUCAAUAGUGAAAGACGGUUUUGCUGUCACUUAUAGAUGGAUCCGCGCCGCAUUAGCUAGUUGGUAAGGUAACGGCUUACCAAGGCAACGAUGCGUAGCCGACCUGAGAGGGUGAUCGGCCACACUGGAACUGAGACACGGUCCAGACUCCUACGGGAGGCAGCAGUGGGGAAUCUUCCGCAAUGGGCGAAAGCCUGACGGAGCAACGCCGCGUGAGUGAUGAAGGUCUUCGGAUCGUAAAACUCUGUUAUUAGGGAAGAACAAAUGUGUAAGUAACUAUGCACGUCUUGACGGUACCUAAUCAGAAAGCCACGGCUAACUACGUGCCAGCAGCCGCGGUAAUACGUAGGUGGCAAGCGUUAUCCGGAAUUAUUGGGCGUAAAGCGCGCGUAAGCGGUUUUUUAAGUCUGAUGUGAAAGCCCACGGCUCAACCGUGGAGGGUCAUUGGAAACUGGAAAACUUGAGUGCAGAAGAGGAAAGUGGAAUUCCAUGUGUAGCGGUGAAAUGCGCAGAGAUAUGGAGGAACACCAGUGGCGAAGGCGACUUU
rnacentral:rRNA from 1 species